CCAACCAAACGGUGGCUAAGGGACUAAUAUCAUUCUAACCCUACAAUUUAUCAUCCAAGAGUUAAAAACUUGAUAGUAAAAGAAUCUUUUACUAUUAAUAGUAUUCCAGCCCAUGCUCUCUCUCUCUCUCUCUCUCUCUCUCUCUCUCUCUCUCUCUCUCUCUCUCUCUCUCUCUCUCUAUAUAUAUAUAUAUAGAGAGAGAGAGCUAUUAUACUCUUAUGAGUAUAGAGCGCGCGGUACUUAUAAAUUAUUUUUAAUAAUGCAGAUUUCGAAUUGUCGAUUCAUACCAUUAAAUAUGAUAUAAAACAUUUAAAACUAUAAAAAAUAGCUUUUGUAAUUUAUCAAAAUUAUAAUAAAACUUAUAUAUAUAUAUCGAUCUCGAACCGAACGCAACCGAGCCAAUCUCAACUUCAGUUCAGCUCGUUUAGAUUACGAGCUAAAAAAUUCAGCGUGUGUUCAGCUUAUUUAUUAAUCAAGUAAUAGAUCUGAAUCUCGUUUUGAGCCGAAUAUGAGAUA
rnacentral:lncRNA from 1 species